AUUAUAUAAGCAAAUUUAGUGCAUUAAACUUAGAAUUUAAAUAAAUAUAUUAUGGAUAUAUAUAUAAUA
rnacentral:tRNA from 1 species